rnacentral:misc_RNA from 1 species
UACGGAGGGUGCAAGCGUUAAUCGGAUUUACUGGGCGUAAAGCGUGCGUAGGCGGCUCGUUAAGUCGGAUGUGAAAGCCCAGGGCUCAACCUUGGAAUUGCAUCCGAUACUGGCAAGCUAGAGUUCGGUAGAGGGUGGCGGAAUUCCCGGUGUAGCGGUGAAAUGCGUAGAUAUCGGGAGGAACAUCGAUGGCGAAGGCAGCCACCUGGGCCUGAACUGACGCUGAGGUACGAAAGCGUGGGGAGCAAACAGG